ACAAAUAAAAAUAUGUGUAUGUAUAUAUGUAUAUUUAAAUUUUGAUAUGAAACGUAAAGAUUUUUAAAGAAUUUUUGAAUAUUUCGGGUAGUUUCGAAAAUAAUUAUUUACAUUUUUAUUUUUAUCAAGAAAACUUUCUGCGGUCGUGCCUAAAGAAAAAAAAAAAGAAAAAAGAGAAAUUAAAGAAAUUAAAGAAAUUAAAGAAAUUAGUUCAUAUCGAUAAAACAAAAAGUUUCAAGAUCAUCGGAGAUAAUUUCCAUUUUUCCAUAGAUCGAAGAGACUUGGUUUUUUAUUUUCAUUCUUAUUUUUAUUUUUUUUUUUUUUUUUUUUUCACCGAUAUAUGUACAUAUAUAUUAUACAAUGUUCAUUAUUUUAACGUCUAAUUAAUAGAUUUAUUUUCUAGAGUUAGUACUUCGCGAGAAAGAAAAAAUACGUGAUUAUAAUAUUCUACUCGAUAGAGAGAGAAUGCAUGUUUUUUUGCGUACGUGGAUAUAUCUACUAGGCUGGAUGCACCCAUUCGUCGUAUACUUUCGUGUACGAUCGUGCUCCGAGGGUCAGCAGCGUGCAUGCAUGCGUGCAUGCAUAUAUGUAUGUGUCGUGUGUGCUUGCUGCGUGCGUGCGUGCGUCGUACGCUUGUCUCUUCUUCGUUAUGUAAAAUAGUAUUUUUAUAAAGGCAAAACAGUGUACGCAAGGUCCAUAAAGUCACGACGUUAAAGAAAAAAAUAAAAAAAAAAAGGCGAGAAAGAGCACGUAAGAGAUGUGAUGACGAUGACGUUUGGAUUAAAUAAAAAUAAAGAUUCGUAAGAAAAAAAGUCAUACAUAUUGCCACAUGGGAAAAAAAAAGGGAAAAAAAAGAAGAAAAAGAGUAAUAAAUAUAAAUGCUGGCACGGAAUUGAGAAUUUUUUCUCACUAAAUGUUCCACGGAUGUCAUCUAUUUAUCUAGACGAAAUGUUCCAUUGGACUGCCAGCCAAUUGACUAAAAGUGCCAAUUUGAGCACAUACCCGAUGCUAAGAAAAAUUAAAUAAACGAUAAAAAAGAAAGAAAAAAAGAGAAAAGAAAACAAAUCUGUAAAAACGUGCAAAACACAAAACACUGUGUUCCCUUCUCAAAAGAGAAACAAAUAAUUGUGUAUGUAUGUGUAUAUCUAUAUAUAAUAUAUAUAUAUAUACACACAUACAUAUAUAUAUGUAUAUAUAUAUAUAUUUAUAUAUAUAUAUAUAUCAAUACAUUGGUCUCCAUGUAGUUCUCUUAAGUUUUCUUUUUUUCUAAUAGAUAUUAUCAAGCGUUCAAAUGAAUAAAAAUCUGAAGUUACUGAUAAAUUUAUCGUAUUUGUUAGUAGGAUCGAUCCAUUCGUACAUUUAAUUUCGGAUACAUAGAUCACACAGGAGUAUAUACCUAAAUCGAUUUUCACUUCUUUUCUUUUUUUCUUUAUUUUUCUUCUUUUUUUUUUUAUAUUAAUUAAUUCGCAAUAUUAAAAAAGUAAAACUUCUUGUGUAUAUAUUCUACUGCUUCUAAAUUCCAACAAAGGAAACAGAAUGAAAAAUUUUUUUAUCUUAGUUCAGAUUUCUGCUUAUUUUUAUUCAUGCAAAUCAUUUCAUAUAGAAAUUUUUUUAAUUUCAAAAUCCUAUAUAAAUAUUGGUACAUAUAUAUAUAAAUAUAUAUAACAAUUUUAAUAAACCCAGCCUUGGUACUGUAUGAAAUAGUUAUCUGAAAAAAUGUGAAUGUAUUAAUGAAAUGUGAAACUUCACUUAUAAAAAAUGUAUUCUUUUAUCCAUUUAAGUUAUGUAAAAAUGUCGAUAAUUAAAUUUCACUUAAAAUACCA